AGGUGGUUAGCUCAGUUGGAAGAGCAUCAGCCUUACAAGCUGAGGGUCACAGGUUCAAAUCCUGUACCACCUA
rnacentral:tRNA from 1 species